GACGAACGCUGGCGGCGUGCUUAACACAUGCAAGUCGAACGCUGAAGCCCUUUCGGGGGUGGAUGAGUGGCGAACGGGUGAGUAACACGUGGGUAAUCUGCCCUGUACUUCGGGAUAAGCCUUGGAAACGGGGUCUAAUACCGGAUAGGACCUGUCCUCGCAUGGGGGUGGGUGGAAAGUUCCGGCGGUAUGGGAGGAGCCCGCGGGCUAUCAGCUUGUUGGUGGGGUAGUGGGCUACCAAGGCGACGACGGGUAGCCGGCCUGAGAGGGUGACCGGUCACACUGGGACUGAGACACGGCCCAGACUCCUACGGGAGGCAGCAGUGGGGAAUCUUGCGCAAUGGGCGAAAGCCUGACGCAGCAACGCCGCGUGGGGGAUGACGGCCUUCGGGUUGUAAACCUCUUUCGACAUCGACGAAGGGGCCCUGUUGUGGGGUUUUGACGGUAGGUGUAGAAGAAGCACCGGCUAACUACGUGCCAGCAGCCGCCGUAA
rnacentral:rRNA from 1 species